rnacentral:rRNA from 1 species
AAACGCUUGAAAGUCAGUCGCAUUGGCCAGGGAUCAACCUUGCUCUUCUGCUUGGUGCAAUUCCUGGUUGAUGGGUCAGCAUCAAUUUUGACCAGUGGAAAAAGGUCAAGGGAAUGUGGCAUCUUUGGAUGUGUUAUAGCCCUUGGCUGCAUACAUUGGUUGGGAUUGAGGAACUCAG